rnacentral:rRNA from 1 species
AGCGAACGCUGGCGGCAGGCUUAACACAUGCAAGUCGAGCGAGCUGAUUCCUUCAGGAUGAAGCUAGCGGUGGACGGGUGAGUAACACGUGGGCAACCUGCCUCAUAGAGGGGAAUAGCCUUCCGAAAGGAAGAUUAAUACCGCAUAAGAUUGCAUCUUCGCAUGAAGAAGCAAUUAAAGGAGCAAUCCGCUAUGAGAUGGGCCCGCGGCGCAUUAGCUAGUUGGUGAGGUAACGGCUCACCAAGGCGACGAUGCGUAGCCGACCUGAGAGGGUGAUCGGCCACAUUGGGACUGAGACACGGCCCAGACUCCUACGGGAGGCAGCAGUGGGGAAUAUUGCACAAUGGGGGAAACCCUGAUGCAGCAAUGCCGCGUGAGUGAUGACGGCCUUCGGGUUGUAAAGCUCUGUCUUCGGGGACGAUAAUGACGGUACCCGAGGAGGAAGCCACGGCUAACUACGUGCCAGCAGCCGCCGUAA